GUCCGUGAGGAUCUCAGAGUAAGGACAAAGAAAAUAUUGAGCUGAGCUCCCAGCUGACCCCUGAUGGACAUAGUGAAUGGCCUUCCACUGCAAUAACAAGGAAAAAGCAGAUUUAAAUAGAAGAGGAACAAAAGAAAAAUAAGGAACAAUUUAAGAUGCCCAACAUGCAACUACUGCUCUCUGCUUGUACCUUUUGGCCUCUAUCCACUCCCCUACUUCUCAGAAAACCAUUACAAAGAUGACAUCGACAUCAUUACCACACAGUGUGACCAGAAUUACAAGCGAAGAAUGAUUGAGUAAGCUGCCGUGUUGGAGAAGACUGGGUAUCAAGAAACUAAGGACAAUCUGCAACAAACAGACAGUAAGUACCCAGGGUCCUCAGCUGAAUAAGCUCCGAGAACCUAAACCCUGUCACCAACCAGGUGAGCAAGC